rnacentral:rRNA from 1 species
AACGAACGCUGGCGGCAGGCCUAACACAUGCAAGUCGAACGCCCUAGCAAUAGGGAGUGGCGCACGGGUGCGUAACGCGUGGGAAUAUGCCCUUCACUGCGGAAUAACGUUUGGAAACGAACGCUAAUACCGCAUAAUGACUCCGGUCCAAAGAUUUAUCGGUGAAGGAUUAGCCCGCGUUAGAUUAGCUAGUUGGUGAGGUAAUGGCUCACCAAGGCGACGAUCUAUAGCUGGUCUGAGAGGAUGAUCAGCCACACUGGGACUGAGACACGGCCCAGACUCCUACGGGAGGCAGCAGUGAGGAAUAUUGGACAAUGGGCGCAAGCCUGAUCCAGCCAUGCCGCGUGAGUGAAGAAGGCCUUCGGGUUGUAAAGGCUCUUUCAGAUGUGAGGUAAUAGACGGUAGCAUCAGAAGAAGCCCCGGCUAAAUUCGUGCCAGCAGCCGCGGUAAU